rnacentral:rRNA from 1 species
CCUACGGGUGGCAGCAGUGAGGAAUAUUGGUCAAUGGACGAGCGUCUGAACCAGCCAAGUAGCGUGAAGGAUGACUGCCCUAUGGGUUGUAAACUUCUUUUAUAUGGGAAUAAAACGUUCCCCGUGUGUGAUUUUGUAUGUACCAUAUGAAUAAGGAUCGGCUAACUCCGUGCCAGCAGCCGCGGUAAUACGGAGGAUCCGAGCGUUAUCCGGAUUUAUUGGGUUUAAAGGGAUCGUAGGUGGAUUGUUAAGUCAGUUGUGAAAGUUUGCGGCUCAACCGUAAAAUUGCAGUUGAAACUGGAAGUCUAGAGUACAGUAGAGGUGGGCGGAAUGCGUGGUGUAGCGGUGAAAUGCUUAGAUAUCACGAAGAACUCCGAUUGCGAAGGCAGUUCACUGGACUGCAACCGACACUGAGGCUCGAAAGUGUGGGUAUCAAACAGGAUUAGAUACCCUAGUAGUC